AAACAGUAUCAAGUUAAAACUUUUUUCAUAUAUUUAAUGCUUAUACCUGAACAGGAUGUAGUCAAGGGAAAAGUGUGGUGGAGGUCAGAAGCAAUUAUGACGUGCAAAUCGAUCGCUUGACUUUGGUACAGAGGCGAAAGACUAAUCGAACAAUCUAGUGGCUGGUUUCCCUUGAAAAUUCUCUCAGGAUAGUUGGUGUAUGUAAUGAAGCUGUUACAUUCGGCAAAAUUAAUGAUUAGAAGAAUUGUGGGAUGAAACGUCUUCAACCUAUUCUCAAACUUUCAAUAAGUGUGACGUCUUGCUUGCUUAAAUAAAGCGUAAAUAUUGAAUGCACGUAGACCAUUUUUGAUAAGCAUAUUUGGGCUGUGAAAUAAACCAAACGUUGAGUUAAUCAGUUAUUAUUUUCGUCCAAUUAUUAUUAUUUUUUGUUUUAAUGGAUUUGGUUGUUAUCUUAACUGCAUACCGUUUUGUUGCUGAAUUU
rnacentral:ncRNA from 1 species